rnacentral:misc_RNA from 1 species
UGGGAAUUCAGGAUUUUUCUUCAUGGAGAGAUAGCAGAAAUGAGAUGCUAGCUGAUAAUUUCUUUCAAGUUGCACAAAAUGUGCAGGGUCAAGGAUUAUCCCUCAGUCUUGGCUCCAAUAUACCAUCUGGAAUUGGAAUUUCACAUGUACAAUCUCAGAAUCCUAACCAAGGUGGCGGUUUUAACAUGUCCUUUGGAGAUGGUGAUAAUUCCCAACCAAAAGAACAAAGAAAUGCUGAUUAUUUUCCUCCGGAUUAUCCUGGAAGAGACUUGGAUGCUAUGAAAGGGUAUAAUUCUCCAUAUGGUACGUCGAGUAUUGCAAGGACCAUUCCCAGCUCGAAGUAUUUGAAAGCAGCUCAAUAUUUGCUUGAUGAGGUUGUUAGUGUCAGAAAGGCCAUCAAGGAGCAAAA